GCCAUCAGAUGUGCCCAGAUGGGAUUAGCUAGUAGGUGAGGUAAUGGCUCACCUAGGCGACGAUCCCUAGCUGGUCUGAGAGGAUGACCAGCCACACUGGAACUGAGACACGGUCCAGACUCCUACGGGAGGCAGCAGUGGGGAAUAUUGCACAAUGGGCGCAAGCCUGAUGCAGCCAUGCCGCGUGUAUGAAGAAGGCCUUCGGGUUGUAAAGUACUUUCAGCGAGGAGGAAGGCAUUGUGGUUAAUAACCGCAGUGAUUGACGUUACUCGCAGAAGAAGCACCGGCUAACUCCGUGCCAGCAGCCGCGGUAAUACGGAGGGUGCAAGCGUUAAUCGGAAUUACUGGGCGUAAAGCGCACGCAGGCGGUCUGUCAAGUCGGAUGUGAAAUCCCCGGGCUCAACCUGGGAACUGCAUUCGAAACUGGCAGGCUAGAGUCUUGUAGAGGGGGGUAGAAUUCCAGGUGUAGCGGUGAAAUGCGUAGAGAUCUGGAGGAAUACCGGUGGCGAAGGCGGCCCCCUGGACAAAGACUGACG
rnacentral:rRNA from 1 species